rnacentral:rRNA from 1 species
AGAGUUUGAUCAUGGCUCAGAACGAACGCUGGCGGCAGGCUUAACACAUGCAAGUCGAACGGGCGUAGCAAUACGCUAGUGGCAGACGGGUGAGGAACACGUGGGAAUAUCCCCUUCAGUUCGGAAUAACUCAGGGAAACUUGAGCUAAUACCGGAUACGUCAGAGAUGAGAAAGAUUUAUCGCUGAAGGAUUAGCCCGCGUCUGAUUAGCUAGUUGGUGAGGUAAUGGCUCACCAAGGCGACGAUCAGUAGCUGGUCUGAGAGGAUGAUCAGCCACAUUGGGACUGAGACACGGCCCAAACUCCUACGGGAGGCAGCAGUGGGGAAUAUUGGACAAUGGGCGCAAGCCUGAUCCAGCCAUGCCGCGUGAGUGAUGAAGGCCUUCGGGUUGUAAAGCUCUUUUGUCCGGGAAGAUAAUGACUGUACCGGAAGAAUAAGCCCCGGCAAACUUCGUGCCAGCAGCCGCGGUAAUACGAAGGGGGCUAGCGUUGUUCGGAAUCACUGGGGCGUAAGCGCACGUAGGCGGCUUGUUAAGUCAGAGGUGAAAGCCUGGAGCUCAACUCCAGAACUGCCUUUGAUACUGGCGACUUGAGUUGACAGA